GGACGGUGUCAUGGAAAUGUCAAAGAAAAAGUGACACCUGAGAGAAAAUUUGAAAGAUGAAAGAUGCACUAAAGAGGCCAAUCAGUCAUCCAGACAAGAAUUUACCUCAUGAGAGUCAACUGUGCGCAUCUCUUCCCAACAUUGUGAUUGGUUAUGUCAUGUUGAUAGCUUGAAAUUGGACAUAGUAUGUACAUUUACACCCCAGAAAUCUCAGGUACUACAAACUAAACCUUCCCUUCUCUCAUUCCCCAGUGCUGUUAAUACGGAAACUGGUCUAAUAUGGAAAACAGGUGAACAUGGAGCUGCUUUGUUUGACUCAGGGAUGAGAGAUACCCAGGUCCUAAUUACUUGUCUUUAACUUUCCUUAGGGAGUACUAAUUUGGGAGUCAUUGUUCUAAACAAUUAAAGUGAAGUAACUGUCCUGUUUUUCUCUUUUACCCUUGUGAACGAGGAAGCUCAGGGUUAAAGUCUAUGUCUUUACUUAUACAUUUCUGUGUUGUAGGAUCUUUUAAUAAAGAUUUUCUCCUUUUA
rnacentral:lncRNA from 10 species